CCGACGGUGAGGGACGAAAGCUGGGGGAGCAAACCGGAUUAGAUACCCGGGUAGUCCCAGCCGUAAACGAUGUGCGUUAGGUGUAUCGGUGACCACGAGUCACCGAGGUGCCGAAGAGAAAUCGUGAAACGUACCGCCUGGGAAGUACGGUCGCAAGGCUGAAACUUAAAGGAAUUGGCGGGGGAGCACCACAACAGGUGGAGCCUGCGGUUUAAUCGGACUCAACGCCGGGAAACUCACCAGAUAA
rnacentral:rRNA from 1 species